ensembl:lncRNA
AUUUUUUUAAUCAUUUUUUCAUUUUUUUUUUAUUUUUCAGUGUGCCUCCUCUGCACAUUCAGGCCAACUGAUUUUACCGGACACCCUCAAAUUACUGCCCUUGUUUAUAUUAUCGCUAUUAAAACAUAACAUUGUUAAAAAGGAUAUCUUGCACGAUAUAAAAGUGUACAGCUUAAUAAAACUGUUGUCUAUGCCAAUCAUGCCAUCGCUUAUUUAUGUGUAUCCAAUACUUUACUUAAUACAUACAAAAGGCAAAAAAAAUGAAAUUGAUCAAAUGGAUAUUCAAGAUGAAUAUUUUAUACCUAAAACUGUACCAACAAGCGCAGAAAAAAUAUAUUCUAAUGCUAUAUAUUUACUUGAUGCCAGUACGCACUUUUAUUUGUAUUUUGGUUAUCAUUCGGACGUAGAUUUUACCAUAAACGUAAGUUAUAUACAUUAGUAAAAGAGUAUACGGUUCGUGUGUUGCAUUGUUAUUACUAGUAGCAGCUAUGGUAAUGUUAUUAUUAUGUUAAUAAUUAUAUGUCGUGUUUAUUUUUUUUUUUUUUUUUUUUUUUUUGUUAGAUUGUUGGGGACACACCGACGGAGAGAAAUUGUCAUGAACUAAAUUUGACGGACUCAACCAAUGCUCGUAAAAACUAAUACAGAAAAUUUUAUAUAUACAUAUUUACAUAUACAUAUUUACAUAUACAUAUUUACAUAUUUACAUAUAUAUGUAUAUAUGCACACAUUGCAAUGUGUUCACACAUAUACGCUUUAUACUACAAUGUUGUGCGUGUGUACUGGUUUAUUUAUUUAUUUGCUCUUCUCACUUGUUUUUUUUUAUUUUUUCUUAUUUUUUUUUGUUAAAGAAAAAAUUCAGCGCAUUAUUAUGAACAUAACAAGAAUCCACCAUUUUAACAAAUUUGUGCCUUUGGUUAUAGUUCCCGCAAAAUCGGCAAAUGAGCAACUUCUCAUGACAUUGUGUGUUGAAGAUAAGGCUGAUAAGGAAUAUAGUUAUGUUAACUUUUUAUGUUUUAUUCAUAAAUUAGUGCAUAAAAAAAUUGAUGAAUCGUAGAUGUGUUUUGUUACAAUUAAAACAUACGCCUUUCGCAAUACAUCCCUAUAUAUAUAUAUAUAUAUAUGCAUAAAAUACAUGUACAAAUACAUANNNNNNNNNNUAUAUAUAUAUAUAUAUAUAUGCAUAAAAUACAUGUACAAAUACAUAUGUGUGAACUUUCGAGGCUAGUUUGAUUAACUCCUUCCUUUCCUUUUUAUUUUAUUUUUUUUUACUUUAUUUUUUUUAUUUUACUUUAUUUUUUUUUAUUUUUUUUUAAAACCAUUUAUAAGUUAAUGUAAUUUUUUAAUAAAAUUUAUAAAACAACACA